rnacentral:rRNA from 1 species
CCUACGGGAGGCAGCAGUGAGGAACAUUGGUCAAUGGGCGAGAGCCUGAACCAGCCAAGUCGCGUGAGGGAGUACUGCCCUAUGGGUUGUAAACCUCUUUUGUCGGGGAGCAAAAGCCGGACGUGUCCGGCUGUGAGAGUACCCGAAGAAAAAGCAUCGGCUAACUCCGUGCCAGCAGCCGCGGUAAUACGGAGGAUGCGAGCGUUAUCCGGAUUUAUUGGGUUUAAAGGGUGCGCAGGCGGAUUUUUAAGUCAGCGGUAAAAUCGUGGGGCUCAACCCCAUCCAGCCGUUGAAACUGGGGAUCUAGAGUGUGCGAGAGGUAUGCGGAAUGCGUGGUGUAGCGGUGAAAUGCAUAGAUAUCACGCAGAACCCCGAUUGCGAAGGCAGCAUACCGGUGCUCAACUGACGCUCAGGCACGAAAGCGUGGGUAUCGAACAGGAUUAGAUACCCUGGUAGUC